AGUGAACGCUGGCGGUAGGCCUAACACAUGCAAGUCGAACGGCAGCACAGUAAGAGCUUGCUCUUACGGGUGGCGAGUGGCGGACGGGUGAGGAAUACAUCGGAAUCUACUUUUUCGUGGGGGAUAACGUAGGGAAACUUACGCUAAUACCGCAUACGACCUACGGGUGAAAGCAGGGGAUCUUCGGACCUUGCGCGAUUGAAUGAGCCGAUGUCGGAUUAGCUAGUUGGCGGGGAAAAGGCCCACAAAGGCGACGAUCCGUAGCUGGUCUGAGAGGAUGAUCAGCCACACUGGAACUGAGACACGGUCCAGACUCCUACGGGAGGCAGCAGUGGGGAAUAUUGGACAAUGGGCGCAAGCCUGAUCCAGCCAUACCGCGUGGGUGAAGAAGGCCUUCGGGUUGUAAAGCCCUUUUGUUGGGAAAGAAAAGCAGCAGGUUAAUACCCCGCUGUUCUGACGGUACCCAAAGAAUAAGCACCGGCUAACUUCGU
rnacentral:rRNA from 1 species